rnacentral:rRNA from 1 species
AUGGCGCUCAUGGAAGUGCAUUUCUUUCUGCACCACAUGAGCGCGGCAGUGAAUGUGAUGAACAAAAUCUGGAGGUGCCACGUCGGUCGCAUACUGCUGGCGCCAACUGAAGCCCGGCAAAAGGUCCCUUGGCCUCCUUUGUCAAUGCGCCUAACCUCCGGUGUGCCUUACCAUGGAAUCAUUUUGGUGUCUGAGAGAGUCAUGGUUCAAGCUAUCAGAGGGUGGUGGUCGUGGAACAGCUUGGCAGCUUCUUACAGCUUCGCGCAGGCUCCCAGGCACCACAUUGCAAGCUUCAACAAUUGA